CGGAAUGAACAAGUUCUAGGGUGACGGAGGAGCUAGCCGAAGCAAUGGUGGAAUUAAAAGAGAUGUGGGUUGCCGGUAUUGAACAGAGGUUUCCUCAUGGCCGUGGCGGUCGACGACGACAAAAUCGAGCAUGGGGAGCCAAUUGUUUUGGCAGAGAGGCUACUCGGUAUGGUAUGGGUGGCUCGGUGAGCUUGGUAGGGCCUAAAUACAUGGGGAGAGGCGGUUCCCGUGGUGCCAGAGGUAAGAUCGCCGGGGAUUACCAUACGACACCACAGAGGAGGUAGCAGG
rnacentral:lncRNA from 1 species